AGUUUUGUAGCUCAGUGGUUAGAGCGAUGGUCUCAUGAGCUAUGGGUCGUGAGUUCGAUCCCUGCCAGAACUU
rnacentral:tRNA from 1 species